AGCGAACGUUAGCGGCGGGCCUAACACAUGCAAGUCGAACGCGAAAGGUCUUCGGACUGAUUAGAGUGGCGCACGGGUGAGUAACACGUAGGUAAUCUACCCUUUGGCGGGGGAUAACGUUCCGAAAGGAGCGCUAAUACCGCAUAAGACCACGGAGUCUCCGGACGCUGUGGGAAAAGGUGGCCUCUUCUUGAAAGCUAUCACCGGAGGAUGAGCCUGCGUCCCAUCAGCUAGUUGGUAAGGUAAUGGCUUACCAAGGCAAAGACGGGUAGCUGGUUUGAGAGAAUGAUCAGCCACACUGGCACUGGAACACGGGCCAGACUCCUACGGGAGGCAGCAGUGAGGAAUAUUGGGCAAUGGGCGAAAGCCUGACCCAGCCACGCCGCGUGAGUGAUGAAGGCCCUCGGGUCGUAAAGCUCUGUGGAGAGGGACGAAAAACCUGGGGUCUAAUAGGCCCCGGACUUGACGGUACCUCUUUAGCAAGCACCGGCUAACUCUGUGCCAGCAGCCGCGGUAAA
rnacentral:rRNA from 1 species